rnacentral:rRNA from 1 species
UACGAAGGGUGCAAGCGUUACUCGGAAUUACUGGGCGUAAAGCGUGCGUAGGUGGUGCGUUAAGUCUGUCGUGAAAGCCCCGGGCUUAACCUGGGACUGCGUUUGAUACGGAUGGGCUAGAGUUCGGGAGAGGAGAGUGGAAUUCCCAGUGUAGAGGUGAAAUUCGUAGAUAUUGGGAAGAACACCGGUGGCGAAGGCGGCGACCUGGUCCGAUACUGACGCUGAGGCGCGAAAGCGUGGGGAGCAAACAGG